UACGUAGGGUGCAAGCGUUGUCCGGAAUUAUUGGGCGUAAAGGGCUCGUAGGCGGUUUGUCGCGUCGGGAGUGAAAACUCAGGGCUUAACCCUGAGCCUGCUUCCGAUACGGGCAGACUAGAGGUAUGCAGGGGAGAACGGAAUUCCUGGUGUAGCGGUGAAAUGCGUAGAUAUUCGGAGGAACACCGGUGGCGAAAGCGACCUUCUGGGGCAUUCCUGACGCUGAGGUUCGAAAGCUCGGGGAGCAAACAGG
rnacentral:rRNA from 1 species